ACAAGCGUGGAGCAUGUGGUUUAAUUCGAAGCAACGCGAAGAACCUUACCAGGUCUUGACAUCCCGAUGCUAUUCUAGAGAUAGAAAGUUACUUCGGUACAUCGGUGACAGGUGGUGCAUGGUUGUCGUCAGCUCGUGUCGUGAGAUGUUGGGUUAAGUCCCGCAACGAGCGCAACCCUUGUCUUAAUUGCCAGCAUUCAGUUGGGCACUUUAAAGAGACUGCCGGUGUUAAGCCGGAGGAAGGUGGGGAUGACGUCAAGUCCUCAUGGCCUUUAUGCCCAGGGCUACACACGUGCUACAAUGGGUGGUACAAAGAGAUGCCAACUCGCGAGAGCGCGCCAAUCUCAGAAAGCCAUCCUCAGUUCGGAUUGGAGUCUGCAACUCGACUCCAUGAAGUUGGAAUCGCUAGUAAUCGCGGAUCAGCACGCCGCGGUGAAUACGUUCCCGGGCCUU
rnacentral:rRNA from 1 species